GAUGAACGCUAGCGGCAGGCCUAACACAUGCAAGUCGAGGGAGGAGCUUUCGGGCUUCGACCGGCGUACGGGUGCGUAACGCGUAUACAAUCUGCCUUUCACAUAGGGAUAGCCCGAGGAAAUUUGGAUUAAUACCUAAUGGUAUAUAGAGGUGGCAUCACCUUUAUAUUAAAGCUGAGGCGGUGAAAGAUGAGUAUGCGUUCUAUUAGCUAGUUGGAGAGGUAACGGCUCCCCAAGGCGACGAUAGAUAGGGGUUCUGAGAGGGAUAUCCCCCACACUGGUACUGAGAUACGGACCAGACUCCUACGGGAGGCAGCAGUGAGGAAUAUUGGACAAUGGUCGGAAGACUGAUCCAGCCAUGCCGCGUGCAGGAAGACGGCCUUAUGGGUUGUAAACUGCUUUUGCAGGGGAAGAAUAAGGACUACGCGUAGUUUGAUGACGGUACUCUGCGAAUAAGCAUCGGCUAACUCCGUG
rnacentral:rRNA from 1 species